UGAGUAACCUGCCCUUAACUCUGGGAUAAGCCUGGGAAACUGGGUCUAAUACCGGAUAUGACUCCUCAUCGCAUGGUGGAGGGUGGAAAGCUUUUUGUGGUUUUGGAUGGACUCGCGGCCUAUCAGCUUGUUGGUGAGGUAAUGGCUUACCAAGGCGACGACGGGUAGCCGGCCUGAGAGGGUGACCGGCCACACUGGGACUGAGACACGGCCCAGACUCCUACGGGAGGCAG
rnacentral:rRNA from 1 species